CGCCCACCUCUUGCCUAGCUGCAAGGCUCUGGCACAUCCCGCGCGGUCCUAAUGCUUGAUGGGUUCCAGCAGACUGAGGACGUGAGUUUAGGACUUUCGGACCACGGCGAGGAUAAGGCUGAGUUGAACCCUAAAUCAGCUUCCGUGAUAAAACCAAGAGAUGGAGAAUUACUCAGUACAUUUUAUAUUGAUAAAAGAGUGCCUGGUGCAGAAGAACCAGAAGAACAGGGCCUGGAAUCCUAUGGAACUGGAAUUACAAAUAUUUGUGAACAGUCACAUGGCUACUGGGAAUCAGUCUCUGAUCUUUUGGAAAACACAUCCUGUCCUCUUAAGUCCCCGAGCCAUCUCUCCAGCUCCUGUUUUAUUUUCUAUUCCUAAAUAUUUUGAACUUUGGAGGAAAUGCUUUCUGAGUCUGUUCACAUGGUGGUGUGCAUUUUAAACUCUGUCUUAUUAAAUGGUGUAUUGUGUUGCGACA
rnacentral:lncRNA from 1 species